CGAACGGGGAUGCAUUAAGAAGGAGUGCUUGCAUUCCGGAAGGAUGUAUCUUAGUGGCGGACGGGUGAGUAACGCGUGGGUAACCUGCCCCAUACCGGGGGAUACCACCUGGAAACAGGUGCUAAUACCGCAUAAGCGCACGGGAGCGCAUGCUCCUGUGUGAAAAACUCCGGUGGUAUGGGAUGGACCCGCGUCUGAUUAGCCAGUUGGCAGGGUAACGGCCUACCAAAGCGACGAUCAGUAGCCGGCCUGAGAGGGUGGACGGCCACAUUGGGACUGAGACACGGCCCAAACUCCUACGGGAGGCAGCAGUGGGGAAUAUUGCACAAUGGGGGAAACCCUGAUGCAGCGACGCCGCGUGAGUGAAGAAGUAUUUCGGUAUGUAAAGCUCUAUCAGCAGGAACGAGACAAGACGGUACCUGACUAAGAAGCCCCGGCUAACUACGUGCCAGCAGCCGCGGUAAUACGUAGGGGGCAAGCGUUAUCCGGAAUCACUGGGUGUAAAGGGAGCGUAGACGGCUGUGCAAGCCUGAAGUGAAAGGCGGGGGCCCAACCCCCGGACUGCUUUGGGAACUGUACGGCUGGAGUGCAGGAGAGGUAAGUGGAAUUCCUAGUGUAGCGGUGAAAU
rnacentral:rRNA from 1 species